GAGUUUGAUCCUGGCUCAGGACGAACGCUGGCGGCACGCUUAACACAUGCAAGUCGAACGAGAGAAGAGAAGCUUGCUUUUCUGAUCUAGUGGCGGACGGGUGAGUAACACGUGAGCAAUCUGCCUUUCAGAGGGGGAUACCGAUUGGAAACGAUCGUUAAUACCGCAUAACAUAAUUGAACCGCAUGAUUUGAUUAUCAAAGAUUUAUCGCUGAAAGAUGAGCUCGCGUCUGAUUAGCUAGUUGGUAAGGUAACGGCUUACCAAGGCGACGAUCAGUAGCCGGACUGAGAGGUUGAUCGGCCACAUUGGGACUGAGACACGGCCCAGACUCCUACGGGAGGCAGCAGUGGGGAAUAUUGCACAAUGGAGGAAACUCUGAUGCAGCGAUGCCGCGUGAGGGAAGAAGGUUUUAGGAUUGUAAACCUCUGUCUUCAGGGACGAAAAAAGACGGUACCUGAGGAGGAAGCUCCGGCUAACUACGUGCCAGCCGCCGCGGUAAUUC
rnacentral:rRNA from 1 species